rnacentral:rRNA from 1 species
GACGAAGGGGGCUAGCGUUGUUCGGAAUUACUGGGCGUAAAGCGAGUGUAGGUGGUUGUCGUAGUCAGGCGUGAAAGCCUUGAGCUCAACUCAAGAAAUGCGCUUGAUGCUGGGCAGCUAGAGGACCGGAGAGGAUAGUGGAAUUCCCAGUGUAGUGGUGAAAUACGUAGAGAUUGGGAAGAACACCAGUGGCGAAGGCGGCUAUCUGGACGGUUUCUGACACUAAGACUCGAAAGCGUGGGGAGCAAACAGG